rnacentral:rRNA from 1 species
GUUAAGUGACUAAGCGUACACGGUGGAUGCCUUGGCAGUCAGAGGCGAUGAAGGACGUAGUAACUUGCGAUAAGCGUAGAUGAGGCAGUAACAGCCACUUGAGUCUACGAUUUCCGAAUGGGGAAACCCACUGGCAUAAGCCAGUAUCAUUGAGUGAAUACAUAGCUCAAUGAAGCGAACCGGGAGAACUGAAACAUCUAAGUACCCCGAGGAAAAGAAAUCAACCGAGAUUCCGAAAGUAGCGGCGAGCGAAAUUGGAUUAGCCCUUAAGCUUUACAUGUGUUAGACGAACGGUCUGGAAAGUCCGACGAUACAGGGUGAUAGUCCCGUAGUUGACGAUGCAUGUUCAGUGAAAUCGAGUAGGGCGGGACACGUGUUAUCCUGUCUGAAUAUGGGGGGACCAUCCUCCAAGGCUAAAUACUCCUGACUGACCGAUAGUGAACCAGUACCGUGAGGGAAAGGCGAAAAGAACCCCUGUGAGGGGAGUGAAAUAGAACCUGAAACCGUGUACGUACAAGCAGUAGGAGCACCUUCGUGGUGUGACUGCGUACCUUUUGUAUAAUGGGUCAGCGACUUAUAUUCAGUGGCAAGGUUAACCAUCUAGGGGAGCCGUAGGG